rnacentral:rRNA from 2 species
AAACUUUCAACAACGGAUCUCUUGGUUCUGGCAUCGAUGAAGAACGCAGCGAACUGCGAUAAGUAAUGUGAAUUGCAGAAUUCAGCGAACCAUCGAAUCUUUGAACGCACAUUGCGCCCGCCAGCAUUCUGGCGGGCAUGCCUGUCCGAGCGUCAUUU